rnacentral:ncRNA from 2 species
UCUUAUCCAGAGUGACUGAGGGACAGGCCCUAUGAAGUCCAGCAACCUGCUACACCAGCAAGGUGCUAAUUCCUGCGGCAUAACCGAAAGAUAAG